rnacentral:rRNA from 1 species
AUUGAACGCUGGCGGCAGGCCUAACACAUGCAAGUCGAGCGGAGCGGCGGACGGGUGAGUAAUGACUAGGAAUCUGCCUGGUAGUGGGGGAUAAAGUCCGGAAAGGGGCGCUAAUAUCGCAUACUAGCAGAUGAGCCAAGGUCGGAUUAGCUAGUUGGUGGGGUAAAGGCCUACCAAGGCGACGAUCCGUAACUGGUCUGAGAGGAUGAUCAGUCACACGGGGACUGAGACACGGCUCAGACUCCUACGGGAGGAAGCAGUGGGGAAUAUUGGACAAUGGGCGAAAGCCUGAUCCAGCCAUGCCGCGUGUGUGAAGAAGGUCUUCGGAUUGUAAAGCACUUUAAGUUGGGAGGCGUUACCAACAGAAUAAGCACCGGCUAACUUCGUGCCAGCAGCCGCGGUAAUAC